rnacentral:rRNA from 1 species
AAAUUGAAGAGUUUGAUCAUGGCUCAGAUUGAACGCUGGCGGCAGGCCUAACACAUGCAAGUCGAACGGUAACAGGAAGCAGCUUGCUGCUUUGCUGACGAGUGGCGGACGGGUGAGUAAUGUCUGGGAAACUGCCUGAUGGAGGGGGAUAACUACUGGAAACGGUGGCUAAUACCGCAUAACGUCGCAAGACCAAAGAGGGGGACCUUCGGGCCUCUUGCCAUCAGAUGUGCCCAGAUGGGAUUAGCUUGUUGGUGAGGUAACGGCUCACCAAGGCGACGAUCCCUAGCUGGUCUGAGAGGAUGACCAGCCACACUGGAACUGAGACACGGUCCAGACUCCUACGGGAGGCAGCAGUGGGGAAUAUUGCACAAUGGGCGCAAGCCUGAUGCAGCCAUGCCGCGUGUAUGAAGAAGGCCUUCGGGUUGUAAAGUACUUUCAGCGGGGAGGAAGGUGUUGUGGUUAAUAACCGCAGCAAUUGACGUUACCCGCAGAAGAAGCACCGGCUAACUCCGUGCCAGCAGCCGCGGUAAUACGGAGGGUGCAAGCGUUAAUCGGAAUUACUGGGCGUAAAGCGCACGCAGGCGGUCUGUCAAGUCGGAUGUGAAAUCCCCGGGCUCAACCUGGG